rnacentral:pre_miRNA from 1 species
CUUGUACUCCCUCCGUCCAAAAAUACUUGUCACUGAAAUGGAUGUAUCUAGAUGUAUUUUAGUUCUAGACACAUCCAUUUUGAUGACAAGUAAUUCCGGACGGAGGGAGUACUUG